CUUCGCAAGGCUUUAUUUUCUGUAUUUUACAACAUUUCGCAACCAAAUUUUGCAAUUUUACUAAUUUUAAUAAGUUCUUUACGGGAAUUUACUUUUUUUUCCUAAAUCAAAAAUUAGUCUAACAUGCAAGUUGUAUAUUAACUUAGUUUGAUUCCAGCAGCAGCAACAAGUAAUUCAUUCAAACAAUCUUUCAUGGUCAGGAAAAAAUGUUCGUGACACGAUUCAGCCUAGCACAGAAUAAAGAUAUGUGCUGGCUAGCCUCAUAUGAACAUCUCCUAGCAUCAUUAUUUCUUUGUUGCUACCGAAUUCACAACAUUCAAAAACAGAGGGCUAGUUACCAUUGUCCUAGUUUACAGAAGCAUGAAAUGAAACGAUAAUUGCUAAGCAAUACAAUCGUAGACGUGGUCUUUCACUCAUCUAGAUAUUUUGAACGUUACCUUUGUGCUACUCUUGUGCAACAGAUGGUGAUCAACAUCGUUUAAGCUCGGAUGAAACGAGGAUGAGAGUGCAUGAGAGUUGGUAGUCACGCGACCUUAAUGGACCUUUCCCCUUAUAACUAAAAUUUCGAUCUGGACAAAAAUUUCAUCACAGCUUGAAAGAGCAUCACAAAAUUAGUAAUAUUCUAAAGUUUUGUUGCAAAAUCUUGUAAAAUGCGGAUAAUAUAGCCUUGCGAAGUUUGCUGUUUUUCAGUCAUUUUGUAUUACAAACGGGAAAUUGACAUCCGAUUCGGGUGUUGGGGCUGCAAUUUCCCGUUUGUAAUGCAAAAUGACUGAAAAUUGCAAACUUCGCAAGGCUCUAUUUUCCUCAUUUUACAACAUUUCGCAACGAAACUUUGGAAUAUUACUAAUUUUGUGAUGCUCUUUCAAGCUGUGAUGAAAUAUUUGUCUAGACUUGUCUAGAUCAAAAUUUUGGUUAUAAAGGGAAAGGUCUAUUGGUUCGCUGUUUUCCCAACACUACCAUGUAUUCUCAGCCUCGUACCCAGGCGCAAAUAACGUACUAAAAAUAGCAACACUACAGUGUUUUUAUCC